CCCCCAGGACAAUAUCCCAUGAAGCCUCCCGUUGCAGAUGGCUGGAGCAGCAGAGACCUCCUGACAAGAAGAAGAUAACAAGACGUCAAUGUCACUUUGUUGUCAUGGAUCUAGAAUUCUAUACUCUCUUCUUGCAUGGAUAAAGGAAAGAUACCUUAAUUGAAGUUAUGACAUUAAGUGAACGUCCUAUGCACAUGAUGUUCAUCCUUGUUUCCUGUUUCUGUUUUUGGAGAGUGUUCCAGCAGUCGUGUGGGGAAAGCAAAUACUGAUUUGUCCAUGUCAGGACGUCAGGAUCGCUGACUGUGGAAAAGAAAAGACAGAUGACAUCCAGAGCUGUUCUGAUGAGUGACCUUGUGGCAAGACCUUAGUUUGUGAAUCAAUUAAUCCCUGAGAAUAUCCAACGCAGUCCUUCCUAGAGUUGUUCCUCAGGCAGAAUUUACAUAUUGGAGAAAUAGAUCCCAAAGUUUCUCAUCUUCCUAUCACUAGAUGUAUAGUUCUGUCUACCAUACAUAAUCCAAAGGUUUUUAAACAAUUGUAUACAGAUUAUGAAUGUCCAUAAAGAAAAAUAAAGACUUCGGUCUCCAAAAUCCCUACUAUAA